ACGAACGCUGGCGGCGUGCUUAACACAUGCAAGUCGAACGGAAAGGCCCUGCUUUUGUGGGGUGCUCGAGUGGCGAACGGGUGAGUAACACGUGAGUGACCUGCCCUUGACUUUGGGAUAACUUCAGGAAACUGGGGCUAAUACCGGAUAGGAGCUCCUGCUGCAUGGUGGGGGUUGGAAAGUUUCGGCGGUUGGGGAUGGACUCGCGGCUUAUCAGCUUGUUGGUGGGGUAGUGGCUUACCAAGGCUUUGACGGGUAGCCGGCCUGAGAGGGUGACCGGCCACAUUGGGACUGAGAUACGGCCCAGACUCCUACGGGAGGCAGCAGUGGGGAAUAUUGCACAAUGGGCGGAAGCCUGAUGCAGCAACGCCGCGUGCGGGAUGACGGCCUUCGGGUUGUAAACCGCUUUCGCCUGUGACGAAGCGUGAGUGACGGUAAUGGGUAAAGAAGCACCGGCUAACUACGUG
rnacentral:rRNA from 1 species